rnacentral:ncRNA from 1 species
AACCGAUAAAGGCAAAACUGUGGAAACGCAGUGACGCAAAGCUACAGGGGCUAAGGUCCGCCAGGGCUAUGCCAGCCAGCUACCGGU